CCUCCGGAAACGGAAGCUAAUACCGGAUAUGACGCACGGAGGCAUCUCCUGUGCGUGGAAAGAACUUCGGUCAAGGAUGGACUCGCGGCCUAUCAGGUAGUUGGUGAGGUAACGGCUCACCAAGCCUACGACGGGUAGCCGGCCUGAGAGGGUGACCGGCCACACUGGGACUGAGACACGGCCCAGACUCCUACGGGAGGCAGCAGUGGGGAAUAUUGCACAAUGGGCGCAAGCCUGAUGCAGCAACGCCGCGUGAGGGAUGACGGCCUUCGGGUUGUAAACCUCUUUUAGUAGGGAAGAAGCGAAAGUGACGGUACCUGCAGAAAAAGCACCGGCUAACUACGUGCCAGCAGCCGCGGUAAUACGUAGGGUGCGAGCGUUGUCCGGAAUUAUUGGGCGUAAAGAGCUCGUAGGCGGUCUGUCGCGUCUGCUGUGAAAACCCGAGGCUCAACCUCGGGCCUGCAGUGGGUACGGGCAGACUAGAGUGCGGUAGGGGAGAAUGGAAUUCCUGGUGUAGCGGUGGAAUGCGCAGAUAUCAGGAGGAACACCGAUGGCGAAGGCAGUUCUCUGGGCCGUAACUGACGCUGAGGAGCGAAAGCGUGGGGAGCGAACAGGAUUAGAUACCCUGGUAGUCCGCGCCGUAAACGUUG
rnacentral:rRNA from 1 species